UGCGUGAAGUUGGAAUCGCUAGUAAUCGCGGAUCAGCAUGCCGCGGUGAAUACGUUCCCGGGCCUUGUACACACCGCCCGUCACACCAUGAGAGUCGGGAACACCCGAAGUCCGUAGCCUAACCGCAAGGGGGGCGCGGCCGAAGGUGGGUUCGAUAAUUGGGGUGAAGUCGUAACAAGGUAUC
rnacentral:rRNA from 1 species